GGACUCGUUUUCCUCUGUCAGGGCCUGGCAGCCAGCGAGGAGCUGAACAAGUAUGCCUGCCACCCCGGCGUGACCUGGAGUUCACAUGGACGAAGCUACACUCAGUCGCAGGAACCCUCGGGCCUUUGAAGUCGCUGAGUCGUCCUGACGGCAGAUCCCUUCCGUGGAGGACUGAUGCUCUGCCAGAAGAGUAAAACGUCGUCGUUUUUAGACUGCCCUUUGGGAUAAAAGAGACAGUCGUGCAGUGCAGCCCCAGUGCCAGGCUCACGUCUGACAGAGCCGCCAUUGUUCGUGUCGCCCCUCAGUGAGCUCUGCUCGGUUAGCGAGGCCCCGGGCCGCUUCAGGGCUCCGGUACAGGUUUCUUGCAAGGAUCAGGUACACAGCUGUGUGUGGAAAUGAAGGAUGGUGGAAGAGGCCAUGUCUACACGAUAUCCAACAUCUGCUUCGAAACUGAGUUCAGUCAGCUCUCCAGAUGUUUCCUCAUGCCCAAAGUUUGCCAAAACCAUCUCUUGACUGAAUGUUGCAGUUUCCGUCUGAUUGUUCUGGAGAAGGUGGUCUGUUCUUCUGCCACGUGGGCUUUUAGAUGUGAAGAAGUGAUAUAAGCUAAAAGACGUAGGCAUCCCAGUCUCCCUAUCCAAUGUUUACCUCCUGCUUUCUCCACCAUCCUCAUCGUGGGCGCGUGAAGGAAACGUGACGGCCCUGCGCUGAGGGGACGAAGUCUGUCUUUGUCCGCACAUGAGCUCAGCUUCUCCCAGUUGUGCUGACUCUGUGGGAUUCCCAGAAAGGAAAAGCCAGGAGCAAAGCACCAGGAAAAUGACCUGGGCCACCUGAGUCUGGCCUUCUUCCCAUAUACCCACCAUCUGCUCAUUGAAGAAUCUCAGUCCUUCUCCUCCUGCUCAUUAGAACUGACACUUCCCAGGCCAGAGGGAUGACCAGGAUGAAUCAGAGAGGCACAUGAAUGCCCAUAUGUAUCGUCCUCAUUUUUCCUUCCUCAGAUAAAGCCUUCCUCUUUUAUUACGCAAGUUGACCUGCGCCCCAUCAAAGAAGGAAGGGGUGUUCAACAUAAAGGAUCCAGGUAACACAGAGUAGAGAUGCAUCGUGGUUGGAGCAAAAUGUAAUACUGAAGGUCACGGCAGCUAGAAAGCUGGAGACAUCAAGGCUAGGUGGAGAAGUAAUGAGGGUGAAUGGUGGGCAUCUCAGGAUGGAUGUGUGUAUUUGAAAAGGAGGGCAUUGGAGAAAGAUGAUCUAAGAGCUAAAACAUAAAUGUGGGGGUUCGUUUUAAGGAAUUGGGGUUGAGAGUAAUAUGAACACAUUUCAAACCUUAGAUGAGUUCCCCUGGUUUAUUUAUAUUUGGCUUUUAUUAAAAUCUGUUAUUAUUGCUGUUUUUUUUGCUUUUAUAUCUUUAGAAGCCGUCUCCACUGUUCUGAUACUGUUGUAUUAUGUUCUUUCUUUCCUGUUUUUCUUCUCCUACAACCACUGUUGGGCAUCGUUUAUCCUCAAUAAUGCAAUUAGAGUAAUCUUUGGUUUUUCAAGUGAAGACUCUGAUGUAUGUAUAUAUUUGAGCUUUACUUUAUGCCAUGUUGUAGAUCACUGAUGGCAGUCAGUUGUAUUUGAAUUAAAAAGAUUAUCG